rnacentral:rRNA from 1 species
GCGUUAAACGUGCCGCCUGGGGAGUACGAUCGCAAGAUUAAAACUCAAAGAAAUUGACGGGGGCCCGCACAAGCGGUGGAGUAUGUGGCUCAAUUCGAUGCAACGCGAAGAACCUUACCAGGCCUUGACAUGCAUCUCUAAGUUGGUGAAAGCCAGCGAGUCCCGAAAGGGACAAUUUGCACAGGUGCUGCAUGGCUGCCGUCAGCUCGUGUCGUGAGAUGUUGGGUUAAGUCCCGCAACGAGCGCAACCCCUGUGAACUGUUGCCACCGAGCCGUGAGGCUCGAGCACUCUGUUCAGACUGCCCCGCUCUAACGGGGAGGAAGGUGGGGACGACGUCAAGUCAGUAUGGCCCUUACGGCCUGGGCUGCACACGUACUACAAUGCCCAGCACAGAACGAUCCAAGACCGCGAGGUGGAGGAAAUCUCUAAAACUGGGCCCAGUUCAGAUUGAAGUCUGCAACUCGACUUCAUGAAGCCGGAAUCGCUAGUAAUGGCGCAUCAGCUACGGCGCCGUGAAUACGUUCCCGGGCCUUGUACACACCGCCCGUCACAUCAUGGGAGUCGCUUGUAGCCGAAGUCGGCGCGCUAACCGCAAGGAGGCAGCCGCCUACGCUAUGAGCGGUAACUGGGAUGAAGUCG